CAGGCUCAAAACAUAAUUUUACAUGAAGUCGAUAAAUCAGACACAGUAACAGGACUACAGCAGAAAACACAUUAUGGCCGACCAAACUGAGACAAAAUAUUUGAAAAUAUUUCUAAAGACCAUGCUGGGAUAAGUGUUGGUGUAUUCUUCUGUGGACCAAGUGGAUUAUCAAAUACUCUUCACCAAGCCAGCAACAAACAUUCCGCUGUGGAUAAAACUGGGGCAAAGUUCUUCUAUAAUAAAGAAAACUUUUAAUUUCUACUCAACAAGUGAUAUUAUACUUUACAUGCAUUUUCAAAUAAAAAACAAAUUACUGGG